AGUUUAAAAUAAUAUUAAGGAUACAGUGAAAAAUAGUAAACAAUUUUUUGGCUCUCUGAUUAAAUUAAAAUUUUGUUCUGUGCAUUUGUCGUACUUGUAUCUUGGUAUCUGUGUACUGUAUCUUCAAACCCCUCUCGGACCAUUUCUUUCUGGCUUAACUUCUCCAACAAGCGGCUUGCUUCUGUCCGAUUUGCACCUGUCCUACACGAGCUUUUCCAAACCUACCAUACCUACCUUCGACGGCAACUCGAUACCACAAAUAUAAUACUAGUACCCAUACUCGUGCCCAUACUCGUACCCAUACUCGUACUCGGAAUCAUGUAAUACUCGCAACACCAGCUGGCAGUGAGGAGGCCCCCUCGCACCAACACCCCCAAUAGCGCUGAUACUUGUACACAAUAGGAUCUACUGCUUCCUAGACUGCUGGCUUCCCCUGGCCAUUUCUUCUUCUGGCGUUUCUUCGUAUUCCAUACUGUUCUAUACUUCAUAACAUCCACACUUUUGUACUACAUAAAAAAACAUACAAAAUAAAAACAUUUUUAC